rnacentral:rRNA from 1 species
GAUGAACGCUGGCGGCGUGCUUAACACAUGCAAGUCGAACGGAGUGGCGAACGGGUGAGUAACACGUGGGUGAUCUCCCUUGCACUUCGGGAUAAGCUUGGGAAACUGGGUCUAAUACCGGAUAGUGCAAGAUGAGCUGGCGGCCUAUCAGCUUGUUGGGGGGGUAAUGGCCUACCAAGGCGUCGACGGGUAGCCGGCCUGAGAGGGUGUACGGCGAAAUUGGGCAUGAGGUACGGCCCAGACUCCUACGGGAAGCAGCAGUGGGGAAUAUUGCACAAUGGGCGGAAGCGUGAUGUAGCGACGCUGCGUGGGUGAUGAAGGCCUUCGGGUUGUGAACUCCUUUCGACAGGGACGCGGUACCUGUAUAAGAAGCACCGGCUAACUACGUGCCAGCAGCCGCGGUAAUAC